rnacentral:rRNA from 1 species
AUUGAACGCUGGCGGCAUGCUUUACACAUGCAAGUCGAACGGUAACAGGUUAAGCUGACGAGUGGCGAACGGGUGAGUAAUGCAUCGGAACGUGCCCGGUCGUGGGGGAUAACGCAGCGAAAGCUGCGCUAAUACCGCAUACGAUCUGAGGAUGAAAGCGGGGGACCGUAAGGCCUCGCGCGAUCGGAGCGGCCGAUGUCAGAUUAGGUAGUUGGUGGGGUAAAGGCCAACCAAGCCGACGAUCUGUAGCUGGGCUGAGAGGACGACCAGCAACACUGGGAAUGAGCCAGGGCCCAGACUCCUACGGGAGGCAGCAGUCGGAAAGUGUGGACAAGGCGCGAAAGACUGAUCCAGCAAUGCCGAGUGCAGGAAGAAGGCCUUCGGGUUGUAAAAUGCUUUUGUACGGAGCGAAAAGGCUCUCUCUAAUUCAGGGGGCUCAUGACAGUACCGUAAGAAGAGGCAGCGGCUAACUACGUUCCAGCCGCAGUAACAC